AGAAUUCAUUUCUCAACUUCAGAGAAGAGAGAAAAUGGCUGCUGUCAAAAAGAGAUCUCAAUGGAGAAAUGGGAUCGAUGGGAAUUCAAAAAGAACUCAGAGAAUGAAGUUUUUGGCAGAGAUUUUGAGGUUGUUACUGAGAAGACAGAUUUGGAAGAAAUGGUUAGAUUUAUUGAAAAACUGGAUGUUGUUGUGUUAAUGAAGUUAGGGUUGGUCGUCACAUUCAAAAUCGAGAAGAAAUUAAUGGAAGAUGGUGUUGGUUCGAAAUGGAAUUGGGUCAAUUUUAUGCCUGAAAUUCAGUCGAGAGAAGUUGUUGUUGCUGGAUGUGUGAGGUUUUGAAUAGGGUGUUGCUGCUGAUACUUGAGUAAUAAAUGGAUGAGAAACUGAACUAUUUGGUGUUUUUGAUUGUUAUGGUUGAAUGGGUUUACUGUGAAUUCAAAUUGCAGGGAGAAUUGAAGCAUGGAAGCGGCUAAGAAUAUCACAACAUACUCAUCUCCUACACCACCAGAAUUCUGUACACAGUAUGUUUGAUAUAAGGCCUCAGUGAACUUUCCUUCACUACUUCAAGUUCUUUGAAGGGUUGUUGCUGCAAUUGGUUAGAUUGAGAUGGGUUCCGAAAUGUUGGUACGAAUCAGUGGGGGUUCUGGGUUGCUGCUGGACCAAGAACUUUAGAUAAAAAUAAGACCGUUGUGAGGCUAUGAAAAGAGAGUAUGGAGAUGGUAGAGUUUGUGUUAGUCUGGAGUUAUGCCGCUGGUCGAAACACAGGGAACAAAUGAGCAUUACUGCCAUUGUAAUCAAGGAUCGAGAGUUUCAUGCGAAGCCAACAAAAGGAAGGAAUGUAAGUGGUUAAUUUGGUGGAUAUCACAGGGAAGUGAACUAGAUUUGUAUGUGCAGCUGGUGGUUCAAGACUUACGGAUCGAUAUCGAAUCUGUGAAUGAACUGUGGACUACAAAGAAGAUGGGAUGGAGAUGAUUUGAGUGCUUACAGGGAAAGCUGAGAGGAACAAGGCAGUGGUGAUGUUGUCGAUGCUUUGAGCUACAAGUAAUGAUGAUGUUGUAGAGGUAAUAGAUGGAAGAGGUGGUAAUGCUGUUAUAUAGGGAGAGAAUGCUGAUCGCAACUGAAGUUAAUGUUGGUCAUGUUGAAAGCAGUUGGUGUUGGUGAUGAAAUUGAUGAAAUUGGUGGUGGUUGUGUGUGCUGUUGUGACCUAAGCUGGACUGGAGAUUGCAGAAUGGCAUGGAUUGCAUUUCAGAGGGACUUGGUGUUGCUGUUGUUACAUAAAAGCUUAAGGAAGCGGCGGACAAGACUAAGAUGGAGUAACUGUGUCAGGUGGUGAUUGUUAUGUCUAGAAAUGUUGUUGUGCAAUGAUGGAUGGAACUGGAAUUGCAGGUUAUAGUGCCUGUUAGUGAAUGGCUUAAGCUGAGCAUGCGAUGGAGUUGAUGUUGCAGAAUGGUUCGAGAUUGGUGGCAUUUUGUUGCAGUGAAGCCAAGGUGAUGAUGGAUGAAUUGAUGGGACCGAAAUCAGUUUUGAACUGAAGCUGUUGUGAAUAGUUAAGCAGAGGAGAAGCUGAAGCUUGGAAUUGUAGAGGUGCUGCUGCAAUGGUGUCAGUAACAAUGAAUUACAGGGAAGGUGGUGAUGAGUUUAAGCUGGUGAAUGUGAAUGAUAACAGUUGCAUGAAAUGGAGCCACGGAGAGGGGAACUGACUACCAGUUACUACACACACAAGAGGAAUGGUUGUAUUGAGAUUGCAGGCUAAGUAGCUGGUGCAGCUGGAGUUGGAGAAUGUCAUUGCAGGUGGAAGAAAUGAAGAUGUCACAAGAUUUGCAGUAUGAAGGCCAUCAUGGCUGGAUGGAGCUAUGAAGCACAAUCACUGUGCAUCAUAACCCAGGCCAGUGCAAUGGCUUAUGCCAUGGCAACUCAAUCAAGUCAUCCCAGUUAGCUCACCUGAAUAGCUGACUCGGAUCUGACUCAUGAUCUGCUGAGUUAGUAAAUUGACUCAGUCACUUUGACUGAGUUGACUCGACGACCUGACCCGUUUGACCGGUGACCGGGUGGACUUUGCCGGUCACCUGAGAUACUUCUUCGACCACUUUUCCCGCCAACUUCCGGCGGUGAACCCAAUUUUCCGGCGACAUAUUUUUGAGAUAAUUUCUACAUGGGUUUUUCUCACAUAUGGGUUUGGUGGAUUUUUAUCUAAUGGAAUUUGAAAAUUUGGACCUAAUUUUGGAACAAGAUGAGCUAUAAAAGAGAAGACUUCUGCAACUUUUAGUAUGACGUAUUCUACUUGGAGCUAAGGAGAGAGCCACUUUUGUUUACGCUACUAGGGUUCGCUUUGCUUUCAUAUUCUUUAUUUGAUUAUUGAUUAUGAUGAACUCCAUAGCUAUGAGUAGCUAAAUCUUAUAUUAUUGGUUAAGGAUGUAGUCCUAUAUCUACAACUUGUGUGCUUGAUUAAUGCAUUA